AAAAAAACACUUUUAAAUUAUUGGCCACCUAGUUUUAGUUGCUGCUCACUACGAGUAAAAAAUCCUUUCAGUACAGCCACUAUUAAAAUUAGAAUGCUAAAUGUCUAGUACAACUAUUUAAUAUACAUGUUCAUGGAACCUCACAACUGUCAAAUGUAGAAACUCGAUCCACUCUCGUCUCGGUCUCUCGAGUAAAAAUUUAAAUUUAAACAAAGGCACAAAACGUGGUUGCAUUGGUUGCCACACUAGAGCCAUAAGCCAAAACUCUUUAUUUUCAAUCUUUACUGUAUAAAUCGUAUCAACAGUGCAUUAAAAAUAAACAGAAAUAUGAGAACAAUCUAAAUACUACGAAACAACUUUACCUGAUAUAAUUUUUUCGGCUUUGAAACCGCGCCUUGUAACAAUAAUCCAAAUCCAACAUGUCCUCUUCUUCCUUCUUUUUGGUCUUUUUAUUAACUGUGUUUUUGAUUGGUUAAUGUGAUUCUAACCAACCAAUCAAAGACCGCAAAAGAACAGCUCCUGCAGCGUGUUGAUAACAGGGGGGAGUGAACACUGAGCUAUCAAAGGAAAUAUUCCAAUACUAUGCCAAUACUUCGUAGGAAACUUAUUUGAUAUACGGAUUUUUUUACGUAAGCUUAGCAUAAUGUCAGUACAUUUUCACUAUUAGUAUGAAACAUACAUAUGUUUGUGAACAUUUCAUAUUUGUGAUGACUGAUGAGUGUAAUUUGAAGUAUUAGUCACUAAAGUGAUGUCAUAAGAAAAUGAAUUACACGUGGUACCACCCCCCCGGUUAUGGUAAAAACCACAUUUUUAAGAAGUGGAGUUAUAAAUCAGAAGACAAGAAAAAUAUUUUUUACAAUAGUAACAGUACUGGAGUUUUCAGAUAGAAAUUGUAUGUAAUGUCAAAUUUAUCCAAGGUAGUUCUGCUUGCUGCUGGUGGCUUUGCUGUGAGUAUAAUCCUGGUUGUUCAUAUGUCACAAGAUGCAGACAGGAAAAGACUAAGGGAAGGUGUAAGGAGGGAUUUAGAGCGGCAGAAAAGAAAACAAGAUAAUGUAACAGAAUUAGAACAACAGCAAGAACUAACAAGAAUAUUAGAAGAACAACGAAGUAAAACGUGAAGGAUGCAAAGAAUGGCAGAAAAAUUAAAGGGAAGGAAAUCCAAGGAAUGUGCAGAGAUUUUGGAAGACUAAAAAGAAAGAUAUGGAACAGAAAUAAAAUGUCAGCAAGAACUGACAAGGAUAUAUUUAGGACAGAAAAAAUAUGAAGAAAGGCAAAGACUAGCAGAUUAUUUAAACGUAAGGAAUAUAUGGCAGUGGCAUAAUAACUUUGGGCUAUGAAUGGGCACCUGGCUUAAACUAAAAAGCACCCCCUGGUCUUGAGGUACAGUAGGCUGUAUUUCAGUUUAGGCAUUCAUAAACAAGUAAACAGAACACUGCAUGUAUGGUCAUUCAAAGAUGAUGUCAUCAUGUCCAGAACUUUAUCCUGUCUUUGCCUAGAACCAUUAAUUAUAAACAAAUGCCCAAACUUCAACUCUUUGUCAUCCUUGCUCAGGGCCCUUGGCAUUUGCCAGGCAGUGCCCGAAGGAAUUAUGUCAUUGAUGUAUGGCACAAUUUGGAUACUGCAUGUACACAAAAAAGAAAUUUAAGGUUAGUAAUGAAGCUGAAAAAAAUGACAAGCAAGAACUGACCAGACUAUAUUGGAAAAACAAAGAAGUAAAAUGUGAAGAAAAGUGAAGACUGACAGAUUAAGAGAAGGGGUACAUAGAGUUUUUAAAAGACAGAAAGAUAUUGAAACAUGAUUUAAAAAUGAUAGCAAGCAUUAACAUCAUAUAUUGGAAGAACAAAGAAUAUGUGCAGAAGGCAGACUGACAGAUUAAGGGAAGAAUGAAUAUAAAAGAAUGAAAAAUAAUGAAACAGAAUAUAAAACGACAACAAUUAUAUUUUAUAAACAUUGAAGACUGACAUAAGAUGUCAAGGAAGCAAAUAAUGACAGAAGGGGAAUGACAUCCUGUGACAAAAUUUGGAAGGAAAGAUAAAUAAGAAAGGUAAUGGAACCAAAUUAAAACAUUGCAAAAACUGCCAAUAAUCUUGAUUAGAAGAACAAAAAAUAAAACAUAAUGAAUACAAAGACUGCAAUAAUUAUUCUUUGGUCAAGAUGUAUAUUCCGGGAGUAUACUAUAUCCUCUCCUGGCACUGACCGUACCCAGUCCCUCAAAUGAGGAUUGAAAAAAAAUGGUGCAUGAUUGGGAAUGGUCAAAAUUUGGGUAAAUUUUUCUUCGUCAUUCCCAUCACAUGUACGAUAUGUACUCAUAAUUGACGAUUGGGUAUGACUCAGCAUCUGGCAUACCCAGACACACCAUGACAAUUGUGUACAAGGGGAUCAGAGUUUUCUAAGAAACCUAGACCUUUGAGGAUGGAAUAUUUUAUAUACGUAAAUGCAUUGUCAGAUUUUGAGCGGAGGUGCAGAGAUCAAGGUACACACCUGCCCUGAGAAUUUUUUCUUGUGUUUGCAGGUUAGGUGCUGGACUUGAUCGAGUCAAAAUUUGACUCAAAUUGAACAGUUAACUUGAAUGAUUGUUAUUAAAUUUUACAUGUGGUUAAGGUCAAGUGUAAUAAAGUUCUUCCAUAAAAUUGAAAGUGCUACUCAUUCAUCUAUGUGUGAAUCACCAUUUUAGUACACACUUUGUAGCCAUACAGUCAAAAUUCAUGAAUACAACAUGUAUAUACAUUUAAAUACAUGACUUUAGAGGGGCACACAAUAAAACUUGACAUCCCAGGGUGGGUGGGGCCCAGACUGCUGCACCUCCCCUUAAGUCUUCCCACCUCCCCCAGCAUUCCCUAAACUCCCCUCCUUAUACUAGCUAGCAAUUUAACAGGAACUACCAGGUUGCUUGAAGAGAUUUCAGUAUUUCUCCCUCCUUUGGCAAUUGUUGAUAGCUUCCAAUAACAGGCUGGUAAUAUCCACCAUAAUGAAUCAUGAUAUCAAUGCAACAUGUGAUCCUUGUUUUGGAAACUUACAGUACUCCAUGUCUUCAGUGGCAAUGUUGCAACCAGGUGGUUGUUAGUAAACCUAGCAACCCAACAGCAAUUUACCUACAAAUUUCCACUGGAAACCCUU
rnacentral:lncRNA from 1 species